GACGAACGCUGGCGGCGUGCCUAACACAUGCAAGUCGAACGGUGAAGCGACUUCCUUGUUGCUGUGUGUGGAUGAGUGGCGAACGGGUUAAUACCACGUGAGCAACCUUCUCCCUUCUUCUUGAUAACCGCAUGAAGGAGUGGCUAACACGGGAUAUUCUGAGUCUGUCGCAUGAUGGGUCUGGGACAGAUUUUGUUUCGGUGGUGGAUGGGUCCGCGGCCCAUUAGCUUGUUGGUGGGGUGAUGGCCUACCAAGGCAGCGAUGAGUAGCCGGCCUGAGAGGGUGGUCGGCCGCACUGGAACGGAGACGCGGCGGAGACGACUACUACAGGAGGCAGUAGGGGGGAAUAGUCCACGAGGGGCGCAAGCCUGAUGCAGCGACGCGGGGGGAAGGAUGGAGGUCGGCUGGUAGAGAACUGCUAUCGGGGGAGAAGAAGUCCUGCAUCGUUUAUGCAUGGGUUGACGGUAGCUGAAUAAGAAGCGCCGGCUAACUACGUG
rnacentral:rRNA from 1 species